rnacentral:rRNA from 1 species
CCUACGGGUGGCAGCAGUGAGGAAUAUUGGUCAAUGGGCGCGAGCCCGAACCAGCCAAGUAGCGUGAAGGAUGACUGCCCUACGGGUUGUAAACUUCUUUUAUAAAGGAAUAAAGUGAGGCACGUGUGCCUUUUUGUAUGUAUUUUAUGAAUAAGGAUCGGCUAACUCCGUGCCAGCAGCCGCGGUAAUACGGAGGAUCCGAGCGUUAUCCGGAUUUAUUGGGUUUAAAGGGAGCGUAGAUGGGUUGUUAAGUCAGUUGUGAAAGUUUGCGGCUCAACCGUAAAAUUGCAAUUGAUACUGGCAGCCUUGAGUACAGUUGAGGUGGGCGGAAUUCGUGGUGUAGCGGUGAAAUGCUUAGAUACCACGAAGAACUCCGAUUGCGAAGGCAGCUCACUGGACUGCAACUGACACUGAGGCUCGAAAGUGUGGGUAUCAAACAGGAUUAGAUACCCUGGUAGUC